rnacentral:rRNA from 1 species
CCCAGUGUGACUCGUCACACUAUCAUUAACUGAAUCCAUAGGUUAAUGAGGCGAACCGGGGGAACUGAAACAUCUAAGUACCCCGAGGAAAAGAAAUCAACCGAGAUUCCCCCAGUAGCGGCGAGCGAACGGGGAGGAGCCCAGAGCCUGAAUCAGCAUGUGUGUUAGUGGAAGCGUCUGGAAAGGCGCGCGAUACAGGGUGACAGCCCCGUACACAAAAGCGCAUGUGCUGUGAGCUCGAUGAGUAGGGCGGGACACGUGGUAUCCUGUCUGAAUAUGGGGGGACCAUCCUCCAAGGCUAAAUACUCCUGACUGACCGAUAGUGAACCAGUACCGUGAGGGAAAGGCGAAAAGAACCCCGGCGAGGGGAGUGAAAAAGAACCUGAAACCGUGUACGUACAAGCAGUGGGAGCACCCUUUGGGUGUGACUGCGUACCUUUUGUAUAAUGGGUCAGCGACUUAUAUUCUGUAGCAAGGUUAACCGAAUAG